ensembl:lncRNA
GUCUUUGGUUGUGCUGGGUCUUAGUUGCUGCAUGGGCUUUUUCUAGUUGCAGCAGGUGGGGCCUAUUCUCUAAUUGUGGUGUGUGGGCCUUUCAUUGCGGCGGCUUCUGUUGAGGAGCACGGGCUUUAGGGUUUGCAGGCUUCAGAAGUUGUGGCACUCAGGCUUAGUUGCUCUGCAGCAUGUAGAAUCUUCCCAGACCAGGGAUCGAUCCCGUGUACCCUGCAUUGGCAAGAGGAUUCAUAACCACUUGUGCUCCAGAUUUGCAGAAGUACCAGAAGUCAGACGAAGGCUUUGCCGAACGGGCACCGCCAUCAUCGGAACAUCGACCUGCACUUGGCCCAUGGGCCGGCUCUGCUCAUCCCCGGCCCAGCCUGUCCGCCUCCUGCCUUCAUGCACGACCUUGGAAGCCUCACUUCUGAGACUCAGGGGUCCUCGGCCACGCUUUCCCCACAGACCUCUCCACCACCCAUCCCAUCCCAUCCCCCAACCUCCCCCUGCCGCCUCCACCACCGCCGCAGUGCCGCCUGCUCUGCGCAUGCUCGGCGGCGUUGAGACGCGCGGCGUGCGAAGACGGAGAGCACCGCGCGCAGGCGCAUGACCGUCCCACACGGAGUGGGGAGGCGCGUCGGGCGCUCUAGCUCUCUCUGGCCCCACCCACCUCUCCCAGACAACCCCGGCUAGACGCGC